GACGAACGUUGGCGGCGUGCUUAAUACAUGCAAGUCAACUGAAGCAGUGGUAGCAAUAUCGCUGUGGAGGUGGCGCACGGGUGAGUAACACGUAGGUAAUCUGCCUUCAGGUCUGGCAUAACUCCGGGAAACCGGGGCUAAUAGCAGAUGAUGCAGCGGCUCGACAUCGAGACAGUUGUUAAAGCUAUGGCGCCUGAAGAUGAGCCUGCGUCUGAUUAGCUAGUUGGCGGGGUAACGGCCCACCAAGGCAACGAUCAGUAGCUGGUCUGAGAGGAUGAUCAGCCAAACGGGAACUGAGAACCGGUCCAGAAUCCCACGGGAGGCAGCAGUAAGGAAAUUUGCACAAGGGGAGAAAUCCUGAAGCAGAAAAGCCGCGGGAGGGACGAAGGGUUUUUGCUUUAAAACCUCUGUAGGGGGAGAAAAAAAUCCCAAUCUUGGGGACAUGAGGGUUUCUAAAAAGUAAGCCCCGGCUAACUACGU
rnacentral:rRNA from 1 species